UUGGGGGUCCCGAUUUAGCCAUGCUAGUUGCACGAGUUCAUACUCGUGGCGAAAAAGCUCAGUAACACGUGGCCAAACUACCCCUACAGAGAACGAUAACCUCGGGAAACUGAGGCUAAUAGUUCAUACGGGAGUCAUGCUGGAAUGCCGACUCCCCGAAACGCUCAGGCGCUGUAGGAUGUGGCUGCGGCCGAUUAGGUAGACGGUGGGGUAACGGCCCACCGUGCCGAUAAUCGGUACGGGUUGUGAGAGCAAGAGCCCGGAGACGGAAUCUGAGACAAGAUUCCGGGCCCUACGGGGCGCAGCAGGCGCGAAACCUUUACACUGCACGCAAGUGCGAUAAGGGGACCCCAAGUGCGAGGGCAUAUAGUCCUCGCUUUUCUCGACUGUAAGGCGGUCGUGGAAUAAGAGCUGGGCAAGACCGGUGCCAGCCGCCGCGGUAAUACCGGCAGCUCAAGUGAUGACCGAUAUUAUUGGGCCUAAAGCGUCCGUAGCCGGCCACGAAGGUUCAUCGGGAAAUCCGCCAGCUCAACUGGCGGGCGUCCGGUGAAAACCACGUGGCUUGGGACCGGAAGGCUCGAGGGGUACGUCCGGGGUAGGAGUGAAAUCCCGUAAUCCUGGACGGACCACCGAUGGCGAAAGCACCUCGAGAAGACGGAUCCGACGGUGAGGGACGAAAGCUAGGGUCUCGAACCGGAUUAGAUACCCGGGUAGUCCUAGCUGUAAACGAU
rnacentral:rRNA from 1 species